UAUGACUCUCGGCAACGGAUAUCUCGGCUUUCGCAUCGAUGAAGAACGUAGCGAAAUGCGAUACGUGGUGUGAAUUGCAGAAUCCCGUGAACCAUCGAGUCUUUGAACGC
rnacentral:rRNA from 1 species